CUUUCCUUCUUUUAAAGACAGAAUCUCACUCUGUCACCCAGGCUGGAGUGCAAUGUCUGGAUCUCAGAUCACUACAAUCUCCACCUCCCGGGUUCAAGCAAUUCUCUUGCCUCAGCCUCCCGAGUAGCUGGGAUUACGGGCGCCCGCCACCACACCCGGCUAAUUUUUGUAUUUUAGUACAGACGGGGUUUCUCCAUGUUGGCCAGGCUGGUCUCCAACGCCUGACCUCAAGUGAUCCGCCCGCCUUGGCCUCCCAAAGAGCCAGGAUUACAGGCGUAAGCCACCGCCCCCGGCUGUCAGUGUGUCUUGAGGUCUUUCCCUAAUCCCAGAUGGCACAAGUUUUCCCUCUUGCAGCCAGAGAAAGGAGCCUUGGGAAGGAGCCCCUCUGGCCUGAAAGAUCAAGCCUGUUGCUGGGCAUGGCCAGUGAGCCUCCGCCGCAGCCCAGGAAGCCAGCCGGGACGCCGCCGCCCCGGACCCCGCGCCCUAACCUACACCUCGGGAGCCUGCACCCCGAGAUUGAAUCGGGAAUUCCGGAAACCCGAGCCUGAAACCCUGAU
rnacentral:sRNA from 1 species